GUAAUCACAAAGAUAUAUACCUCUAAAUACCAUGAAGUUAUGAAUACACAUAUAUCUCUGAAUACAAUGAGCGCUCCUCUAAUCACAAAAAGAAUUAUAAUUCAAUGAGGGUCCCUCUAAAUACCAUGAGUAUGAGUUGGGAUUCCAUUGCAGAGAGGGGAAAAUAGGAACACAGAUCAUAUAUAGGUGAGGCAUGGUUCUUGACUUCUUGUACCACUGGCAGCUACCUUGUUUGUUUGUGUCCAUAAUGGAGCUGAUAAGGAAUGAAAGGACCAGUGGAAGAAAUUUGCAGCCGUUGCAUCUGUUAGGUACGGGUUACCAAUCGGGGAACAGGCGGUGGCUUCCCCUUCCUUGCGUUCACAUGUUGUUCCGCUAGCUGCAGCUGAUGGAUGUUCCGCUAGCUGUAGCUGAUGGAUGGAUCCGUGGAGGCGCACAGCUCUAACAUAUAGCUGAUGCUUGGCUCUAGCGUGGACUUGACCAUGGAAGCCUCUUCUCCCCCUACUCAGGGAGACUGCCGUCGAGGGAAUCAGGGGCAGCACCAUCGCCGACGAUGAUUGCCGCCUCGGCGAGACUGCUGUCGAUUGAAACAGGGAUAGCACCAUCGCCGGCGAUGAGUAGGUACGACGACCACAACGGGCACCCUGCCCUCGACUUCGUCCCCGGCCGUCCCCUCGUCGACGAGCCUGCAGUCGAAUGCCCCGAUGAACCGCCAGGUAAAGAAAGGCGUGUGGAUUCACGCUCCACGAGGACCAGCUACUGCUGUGGUCUCUCCUCAGCCACCGUGCAAUAACCUUAAGCUGGCUGAUUUCGAUGCUCAAGGGCAGAAAGAUCUACUUGUUUUGGCUAGUAUCCUUGCUUUUGGCGUUGCUUUACCUUUUGUGCUUUCUCCCUGAUGAUCGACGAAAUAAGACAAGGCUUGGUUUGGCUGUACCUAAUGUAAUAUAUGCGCAUCCACUUGGAUCCCCAAAAUGUUCACGACAAAUUCCUAUACGUUUCAGUACUUCAGUGUGUAUGUGCUAACAAUUGAA